rnacentral:rRNA from 1 species
UACAGAGGGGGCAAGCAUUGUUCGGAAUUACUGGGCGUAAAGCGUGCGCAGGCGGUUUUGUAAGUCAGAUGUGAAAUCCCCGGGCUUAACCUGGGAACUGCGUUUGAAACUACAAGGCUAGAGUGUGGCAGAGGGGGUGGAAUUCCGACGUGUAGCAGUGAAAUGCGUAGAGAUGUGGAGGAACACCGAUGGCGAAGGCAGCCCCCUGGGUUAACACUGACGCUCAGGCACGAAAGCGUGGGGAGCAAACAGG